rnacentral:rRNA from 1 species
UAGGGAAUCUUCCACAAUGGACGCAAGUCUGAUGGAGCAACGCCGCGUGAGUGAAGAAGGUUUUCGGAUCGUAAAGCUCUGUUGUUGGUGAAGAAGGAUAGAGGUAGUAACUGGCCUUUAUUUGACGGUAAUCAACCAGAAAGUCACGGCUAACUACGUGCCAGCAGCCGCGGUAAUACGUAGGUGGCAAGCGUUGUCCGGAUUUAUUGGGCGUAAAGCGAGCGCAGGCGGAAGAAUAAGUCUGAUGUGAAAGCCCUCGGCUUAACCGAGGAACUGCAUCGGAAACUGUUUUUCUUGAGUGCAGAAGAGGAGAGUGGAAUUCCAUGUGUAGCGGUGGAAUGCGUAGAUAUAUGGAAGAACACCAGUGGCGAAGGCGAAUCUCUGGUCUGCAACUGACGCUGAGGCUCGAAAGCAUGGGUAGCGAACAGG